UACGUAGGGGGCAAGCGUUGUCCGGAAUCAUUGGGCGUAAAGGGCGCGUAGGUGGCUCGGUCAGCGUGCGGUGAAAGCUCGGGGCUCAACCCCGAGUCGGCCGUGCGAACUGCUGGGCUUGAGCACUGUAGAGGCAGGCGGAAUUCCGGGUGUAGCGGUGGAAUGCGUAGAGAUCCGGAAGAACACCGGUGGCGAAGGCGGCCUGCUGGGCAGUGGCUGACACUGAGGCGCGACAGCGUGGGGAGCAAACAGG
rnacentral:rRNA from 1 species